AUGACGUCAAUCAUCAUGCCCCUUAUGACCUGGGCUACACACGUGCUACAAUGGGAAGUACAACGAGUUGCGAAGUCGCGAGGCUAAGCUAAUCUCUUAAAGCUUCUCUCAGUUCGGAUUGCAGGCUGCAACUCGCCUGCAUGAAGCCGGAAUCGCUAGUAAUCGCGGAUCAGCACGCCGCGGUGAAUACGUUCCCGGGCCUUGUACACACCGCCCGUCACACCACGAGAGUUUGUAACACCCGAAGUCGGUGAGGUAACCUUUUUGGAGCCAGCCGCCUAAGGUGGGAUAGAUGAUUGGGGUGAAGUCGUAACAGGCUAACCGUAGA
rnacentral:rRNA from 1 species